rnacentral:rRNA from 1 species
UACGUAGGGUGCGAGCGUUAAUCGGAAUUACUGGGCGUAAAGCGUGCGCAGGCGGUUCGUCGUGUCCGAUGUGAAAGCCCCGGGCUCAACCUGGGAAUGGCAUUGGAAACUGGCGGACUCGAGUGUGGCAGAGGGGGGUGGAAUUCCGCGUGUAGCAGUGAAAUGCGUAGAUAUUGGAAAGACCACCAAUGGCGAAGGCACUCUACUGGGCCAUUACUGACACUGAGAGACGAAAGCUAGGGUAGCGAAUGGG